ACUUCUGGGCUUCCCUGGUGGCGCAGUGGUCGAGAGUCCGCCUGCCAAUGCAGGGGACACGGGUUCGUGCCCCGGUCCGGGAAGAUCCCACAUGCCGCGGAGCGGCUAGGCCCGUGAGCCACGGUCGCUGAGCCUGCGCGUCUGGACCCUGUGCCCUGCAACGGGAGAGGCCACAACAUUUCCUGAGUUUCUGGGAAGGCCUGGUUUCCCCAAAGGAAUGAUUUCUGGUAGAAGUCUGAAGGUCUGACCCAAGAAAAAAACUCCAGUAUAGCCAAUGAAUUGAGGACAAGAAGGUUUCCAAUCAGUGUGAUCCCAGAAGUCUCACCAAGAGAUGGUGUUGAUUCUUCUCAGUGCAAGAGUUGCUCCACCUCUCAGAGAGGAGGAACAUCAGAAGUGCCAGCCACCCUACAUAAGCUCCAAGUCUCAUCCUUUCAAAGUUCCUUUCCUGUAGUGCAACUUCUGCACAUUCAGAUGAUCUCUGGUCCAUUUUAUCAGGGAUCAUGAUUGACUGAUGGCUCCAGUUACUAUUACCAGCACAGGACAGAGCCUGGUGUGGCCAAGAAAGCGGGCCAUUCCUGUGAAUACAAGACUGCCCCAACAGGCAUACUGUUGCUGCGUUUAACCUCACUGAAGCCAGACUAAUCUAGAGAUGUUCUUAGCUUCCUGUGACUCAUAUGAAGGUUAUCAUUUUAGAAGAGACCUUGAAAACAUACUCUGGAUUUAGGGGGGAAAAAAAACUCUGACAUUUCCAAGAGGAAAAGCUUUUUUUAAGUUUUAUAUUGUAGAUGCAGAGCUUAAAGCAUUUAAACACAUACAGCAAGCAAUAUAAUAUGAAUCAUGUAACAAAAGUUAAAUUUAAGUGAAAACCUUGUGUGGUAUGUUGCAGUCACAAAAGAAGAUACAAAAUUAAUGUGGACACCUGCUUGUUUUACUUGUAUCAGGAGAAAAUAAAAUUAAUUGUCAUUUAAUGAAUUGCUUUCUGUUGUAGCACACUUAAUUAUCUCUUCCUGUAACCCCAAGAAGUAUCUUUUCAAACUCACAGCUGUAUCUGAAUAGGGGCUACCAACUAAAGAGACUGUUUCCUUGCCACAGGUGAUCACAGGCUUAGGCAAACCCAGACCGUAUUUAGCUGUUGGCCUUCUGUUUCCCUUAACACAGGAGAUGAAUGCUAACCCCUUUUCCAGCUAGCUGCAUGUGGAACAGUUCUGGCUUCAGUCCCCUGCCACCUGCCAGCUCUGGGAUCUCAGGGUGCUCCUGGGAGAAUCAUAGGAAUGCGGAUGAACCCCUGAAAGAGACCUGAUGGUGCAGAGAAGGCAUCCGACAGAGGAUCAUGAAGCAGAGAGCAAAGAAGUGGGGUUGAAAAGAGGGAGGUAUACGCGGAGAUUGUUUUUCAUCUCAAAAUGUGCCAUUGUAUUCUACAUUCUCCUUGAAACAUUUCAAGGGCUCCAUUUGCAUAUAUUAGAUGCUUACUUCUUUUCACAUCAUGUUCUCCAUUCCUACCGAAUUACGUGUCAAUCUAUGAACUGUUUCUCCUUUGUACUUCUGUCACUUUAGUACAUUAACAAUUGCAAGUAGAGGUUUUCCACAGUGUGUUUUCCUCUUGGUACAACUUCUUUUGAAUCUAUCCUGUGUAUACAGAAAGAUCUCAAGCGUGUGGGCCAGUCAGAAUGAAGCCAAGCCCGCACUGGUGGAAGUCUACAUUCUAGAAGGGCUCCAAAGACACAAGGACACACAGUUGCAGUGAUUACAGUACUCAAACCUACCUAGAUUAGUUGCAAAGAUACUUCUUUAGCACUAUUUUCACAUUAAUUCUAUUAUUGUUUAAAUAUAAUUGCGUUUCUCUAGUUGAUGUAAGUAAAUCCUUUGCUUAAAAUAUUUCAUUUUGUUUCAACUGUUAAUUUGUUUUCUGAAAUGAGUGUAAUAAAUACAAAUUUUUAUUUGUCCUAACAAUUAAAAUGCAUGGAUUAACCCCCAGCUUGUACAAAUGCAGAAUCAUUACUAUCCCUAACAAUGUAAAACUCUGACAAAUUAGAUAUCACUAUUUCUUAAGGAAAAUUGAUCAUAAGAUAAUUUUUGGACCUAAAAAUCUGCAUUUGUCUCAAGCACAUUUAACAUGCAUUCAUGGGAGAAGGAUCAUCUUUUUUCUGUUUCAUAUACAACUCUGUUAAGUGGAUAUCUUAUGUUUUCUUACAUUUCCUGCAUAUAAUUUAAAGGAAAAAAAAGCCAUCCAAAAAGAGAAUAGAGGGAAUGAAUGUCUCAAUCCUUUUUUAAUUGUAUCACUGAUUCUUGGGGGGGUAUAGUGUGAUAGCUUCUGUAUUUUCUUUACUCCCUCCCUCCCCAAUUUUACUGAGUUGUGGUUGACUAUAACAUCGUAUAAGUUUAAAGAGUACAACAUAAUGAUUUGAUACAUGCAUAUAAUGUGAAAUGAUUACCACAAUAAAUUUAGUUAACAUCUGUCACCUCA